GUGAGUCAUCGAAUCUUUGAACGCACCUUGCGCCCUUUGGUAUUCCGAUGGGCAUGCCUGUUUGAGUGUCUUGAAAUCAUCAAACCCCCGGUUUUGCGAUCGCGGGGCUUGGACUUGGGGGCUCUGCUGCCGCGAGGCGGCUCCCCUUAAAUGCAUCGGUCGGGCCUACUGGGGCUCCGUCACCUGGGCGUUGUAUUACCCUCGCUCUGCCGACGUGCCUCAGCUUUUGCGCGCCCGACCCCGACCUGCCUCUGGAGCGGCGGUCAACACUCUUUGAGAUCUGACCUCAAAUCAGGUAGG
rnacentral:misc_RNA from 1 species